rnacentral:misc_RNA from 1 species
ACUCACUUAAGCCCUGCUUAGUGUUGGGAGUCUACGCCUGUAGUUCCCCAAAGCCAUCGGCGGAGCCGUGGUAUACUCCGAGCUUAGUAGUUACUCUCUAGCUUUCGAGUCGACCGCGUCCCCUGCCGUUAAACACCCUUCUUCUGAAUGG